rnacentral:rRNA from 1 species
GAGCGCCCCGCAAGGGGAGCGGCAGACGGGAGAGUAACACGUGGGAACGUACCCUUCAGUACGGAACAACCAAGGGAAACUUUGGCUAAUACCGUAUACGUCCGUAAGGAGAAAGAUUUAUCGCUGAAGGAUCGGCCCGCGUCUGAUUAGCUAGUUGGUGAGGUAACGGCUCACCAAGGCGACGAUCAGUAGCUGGUCUGAGAGGAUGAUCAGCCUCACUGGGACUGAGACACGGCCCAGACUCCUACGGGAGGCAGCAGUGGGGAAUAUUGGACAAUGGGCGCAAGCCUGAUCCAGCCAUGCCGCGUGGGUGAUGAAGGCCCUAGGGUUGUAAAGCCCUUUCGGCGGGGAAGAUAAUGA